AAAAAGGAUUCCCUAGUACGGCGAGUGAACCGGGAAGAGCUCAAAUUUGAAAUCUGGCGUCCUCAGGGCGUCCGAGUUGUAAUCUAUAGAGGCGUUUUCCGUGCCGGACCGUGUCCAAGUUCCUUGGAACAGGAUAUCAAAGAGGGUGACAAUCCCGUACUUGACACGAUGACCGGUGCUCUGUGAUACGUCUUCUACGAGUCGAGUUGUUUGGGAAUGCAGCUCAAAAUGGGUGGUGAGUUCCAUCUAAAGCUAAAUAUUGGCGAGAGACCGAUAGCGAACAAGUACCGUGAGGGAAAGAUGAAAAGCACUUUGGAAAGAGAGUUAAACAGUACGUGAAAUUGUUGAAAGGGAAACGAUUGAAGUCAGUCGUGACUGAGAGGCUCAGCCGGUUCUGCCGGUGUAUUCCCCUCAGUCGGGUCAACAUCAGUUUUGUCCGGUGGAAAAGGGCGGUAGGAACGUGGCACCUCCGGGUGUGUUAUAGCCUGCCGUCGCAUACAUCGGGUGAGACUGAGGAAUGCAGCUCGCCUUUAUGGCCGGGGUUCGCCCACGUCCGAGCUUAGGAUGUUGACAUAAUGGCUUUAAACGACCCGUCUUGACACACGGAACACCAU
rnacentral:rRNA from 1 species